GAUGAACGCUAGCGAUAGGCUUAACACAUGCAAGUCGAGGGGCAGCACAAGGUAGCUUGCUAUCUGGGUGGCGACCGGCGCACGGGUGCGUAACGCGUAUGCAACUUGCCCUAUACAGGAGGAUAACCCGUCGAAAGACGGACUAAUACUGCGUAUGCUCACAACUUGGCAUCAAGUGGUGAGGAAAGAAAUUCGGUAUAGGAUUGGCAUGCGUCCCAUUAGCUUGUUGGUGAGGUAACGGCUCACCAAGGCAACGAUGGGUAGGGGAACUGAGAGGUUUAUCCCCCACACUGGUACUGAGACACGGACCAGACUCCUACGGGAGGCAGCAGUGAGGAAUAUUGGUCAAUGGGCGCGAGCCUGAACCAGCCAAGUCGCGUGAAGGAUGACUGUCUUAUGGAUUGUAAACUUCUUUUAUACGGGAAUAACAAGAGUCACGUGUGACUCCCUGCAUGUACCGUAUGAAUAAGCAUCGGCUAACUCCGUG
rnacentral:rRNA from 1 species